GAUGAACGCUAGCGGCAGGCCUAACACAUGCAAGUCGAACGGUAACAGGGAUUGCUUGCAAUCCGCUGACGAGUGGCGCACGGGUGCGUAACGCGUAUGCAAUCUACCUUUUACAGAGGGAUAGCCCAGAGAAAUUUGGAUUAAUAUCUCAUAGUAUUAUUUUGCGGCAUCGUAUAAUAAUUAAAGAUUUAUCGGUAAGAGAUGAGCAUGCGUUCUAUUAGCUAGUAGGUGUGGUAACGGCACACCUAGGCGACGAUAGAUAGGGGUCCUGAGAGGGAGAUCCCCCACACUGGUACUGAGACACGGACCAGACUCCUACGGGAGGCAGCAGUGAGGAAUAUUGGUCAAUGGACGCAAGUCUGAACCAGCCAUGCCGCGUGCAGGAAGACUGCCCUAUGGGUUGUAAACUGCUUUUAAACGGGAAGAAACCCCUGCUCGUGAGCGGGGCUGAC
rnacentral:rRNA from 1 species